rnacentral:rRNA from 1 species
GAUCCUGGCUCAGGACGAACGCUGGCGGCGCGCCUAACACAUGCAAGUCGAACGGUGAAGAGGAGCUUGCUCCUCGGAUCAGUGGCGGACGGGUGGGUAACACGUGAGCAACCUGGCUCUAAGAGGGGGACAACAGUUGGAAACGACUGCUAAUACCGCAUGACGUAUCGGGAUGGCAUCUUCCUGAUACCAAAGAUUUUAUCGCUUAGAGAUGGGCUCGCGUCUGAUUAGAUAG